rnacentral:pre_miRNA from 1 species
AAUGGUGUACAGGAAAAUGACCUAUGAAUUGACAGACAGUGUGGCCAAGAAUGUCUGUCAUUUCCGUAGGCCAAUAUUCUGUAUGUCUCCGCUACCUUGAA